GGAAUGACAGGCAUCUGUAUGGGCAGACGGCCUCACCUUGGCCGGGUGUCGUCAUUGGCUGCCUAUUAGAAAAGCUACAGGACAAUGCAUACCACCGCCCGCCGACUGUAAACAUAGGGGCUGUGUGUUCACUUAGCAUGGACUUCUGGGAGGGGCCAAGAAAGGGCGGUCUGCAGUUUUAUUGAAUAGAGCAGUGUGCAUUAGGCUGGCUGCCUGCCUGCCUGCUCUCUUGCUGUGUUGCUUAAAGGAAUCCCGGCUCCCUUUCCGACGACAGCGAGACGUCCUCCUCUGUGGGAAGAAGCUGCAGCCGCAGAGGUAUUAUCUGGGCCCCCAAACCUAAAACCUCACGAUGGAUGAUUUUGAACGGCGCAGAGAACUCAGGAGGCAAAAGCGGGAGGAGAUGCGGCUGGAAGCGGAGAGAAUUGCCUAUCAGAGGAAUGAUGAUGAUGAAGAAGAGGCUGCCAGGGAACGGCGCCGCCGAGCCCGGCAGGAAAGGCUGCGGCAGAAGCAAGAGGAAGAGUCCUUGGGACAGGUGACAGAGCAGGUGGAGAUCCAUGCUCAGAACAGUGUCCCUGAUGAAGAGUCUAAGCCAGCCACUACAAACACUCAGGUAGAAGGUGAUGAGGAGGCUGCCUUACUGGAGCGCCUGGCUAGGCGAGAAGAAAGACGUCAAAAACGCCUUCAGGAAGCCUUAGAGCGUCAGAAGGAGUUUGACCCGACCAUAACAGAUGCCAGUCUGUCAAUCUCAAGCAGAAGGGUGCAAAAUGACAUGGCAGAAAAUGAGACACCAGAGAAGGAAGAAAAAAGAGAGAGUCGCCCAGGGUGGUAUGAGGUGGAAGAAACAGAAGUAGUCAUCAGGUCCUACCAGAAGAACAACUAUGAAGAUGCUGAAGAGAAAAAGAAAGAAGAAAAGGAGGAGGAGGAGGAGGAAGAGGAGAAGCUGAAGGGAGGGAGCCGUGGCGAAAAUCAGGUAGAGGAGACGGUAGAAGAGAAAACACCAGAAACCCAAGAGGAAGCUGUGGUAAUGGUAUUGGAAAAUGGGCAAGUCAGUGCAGAAGAGUCUAAAGGAGAGGGGGAGAGGGAAGAAGACACAGAGGAGAUAGCCCAUCGAAAAAAGAUGGAGGAAGAAGAAAGAAAGAGAGCUGAGGCAGAGAGGCUGAGGUUGGAAGCAGAAGAACAAGAAAGACUCAAGGCUGAGCAAGAUAGGAAGCUAGCAGAGGAACAGGCAAGGAUCGAAGCUGAGCAAAGGGCAGCUGCAGAAGAAAGGGAAAGGAGGGAGGCAGAGGAGCGGGCAAGGAUUGAGGAGGAACAGAGAAGAAUGGUCGAGGAGCAGCAGAAGGCCAAGGCAGAGGAAGAGGAGAAGGCCAGGCUAGAGGAGCAAAAGCAAAGAAAGCAGCUAGAGAAGCAAAGGAGUGAGAAGCAAGAAGCAAAGGACAAGGGGGACAAGGGGGACAAGGGAGCUAAGAAGACAGACAGGAAAGGGGUGAAUGAAAGGAAAGAGCAAGAAGACAGACUUCAGACAGCUGUCCCAAAGGAGCAGGAAAGGGAAGAGGAAAGAGGAGCUAAAGGGCAAGCUCAAAGACAAAAGGCCCAAGAUAACAAGCCUGCCUUCAAAAAGGAAGAGAUCAAAGAUGAGAAGAUUAAAAAGGACAAAGAGCCCAAAGAAGAAGUCAAGAGCUUCUUGGAUCGCAAGAAAGGCUUUACAGAAGUGAAGGCACAGAAUGGAGAAUUCAUGACACACAAACUUAAACAAACCGAGAAUGCUUUCAGCCGCUCAGGAGGCAGGGCCGGUGGGGACAAGGAAGCCGAAGGCGCCACACAAGUGGAAGCCGGCAAGAGGCUCGAGGAGCUGCGCCGGCGCCGCGGGGAGACGGAGAGCGAAGAGUUCGAAAAACUCAAACAGAAGCAGCAGGAGGCAGCCCUGGAGCUGGAAGAGCUGAAGAAAAAGAGGGAAGAGAGAAGGAAGGUCCUGGAGGAAGAGGAGCAGAAGAGGAAGCAGGAGGAGGCUGACCGAAAAGCAAGAGAGGAGGAAGAGAAGAGGAGGCUAAAGGAAGAGAUUGAACGGAGAAGGGCAGAAGCUGCUGAGAAACGCCAGAAGAUGCCAGAAGAUGGCCUGUCCGAGGACAAGAAGCCAUUCAAGUGCUUCACCCCUAAAGGCUCAUCUCUCAAGAUAGAGGAACGAGCAGAAUUUUUGAAUAAGUCUGUGCAGAAAAGUGGUGUCAAAUCUCCUCAUCAAGCAGCAGUAGUCUCCAAGAUUGACAGCCGGCUGGAGCAGUAUACCAAUGCAAUUGAGGGAACAAAAGCUUCAAAACCUACUAAGCCUGCAGCGUCAGAUCUUCCUGUUCCUGCUGAAGGUGUCCGAAAUAUCAAGAGCAUGUGGGAGAAAGGGGAUGUGUUUUCAUCUCCCUCUGCCUCGGCAACACCAAAUAAGGAGACUGCUGGCCUGAAGGUGGGCGUUUCCAGCCGCAUCAAUGAAUGGCUAACUAAAUCUCCAGAUAACAAGUCACCAGCUCCCAAGCCUUCUAAUGAUGUCUUUCUCAGCUGGCUUCUCUUCUUCACUCUUUCAUGUCUGGUUGACUGGAAACCUGCCUUUCCUGCCUUCAUUUAUCCCUCUUCUCCCAGAGCGGGUCUUUCUCUAACAUAUAGUCUGGUCAGGACUUGAGGCCUGGAGAUGUAUCUGGCAAGCGGAACCUCUGGGAAAAGCAAUCUGUGGAUAAGGUCACUUCCCCCACUAAGCAGGUCUGAAACAAUCGGAGAAAGAACCCAACUGCAAGACGUUUUGCUGGGCCAGCUCAGUUGUAGGGGCUAAUUGCUCUGUUUAUAUUUAUGUUGAUUUACUAAAUUGGGUUCAUUUUCCUUUUUUUUUUAAAUUUCCAAUAUCCCAAUAAACCCAUAUAUAUGCUCACUAUAUUUAAUAACCACAUCUAGAGAUGUUCAUGGUCAAAGUACUGCCUUUGCAGAGGAGCCUGUUUCCAAAGAAACCCAUGCUGUGAAGUAGACUCGCUACUGUCGUCCCAACAGUGAGAACCACCACAUCGGAAGUCAACAAAAAGAAUUUGAGGUUAAGAUUAUCUGAGGAAUGAAUGCAGUAUCUAGGGAGGAAAUGAACCAUAGGUUUUAUUUUGUCUCAAUACAGACAUCAUGUUUCUGCACUUUAGAUUAAAGUAUGGAAGAAAUUAUCUAAGUAGGCAAUCAAAAGUAACCCAUUUCAGAUCUGAUACAGGGCAGUAAUGAUUGUCUUUAAAAAAAGAUGUACUGUUGACAUAUUGCUUUUUUAUGUGCUGAUUCAUACCUAAAUUGGGUGAUUAUUUUAGCUGACAGUGGUACUGAUUUUUUUUUUUUUCAGGUUAGAUGCUUUGCAGAUUUCUUUGGUAGUAAUUGUAGACUGAACCACAUUUAGAUAACCCAACUAUGUAAUGUAUGUGCAUACAUGUCUACAGACACACUAAUGGUAGACUGCUCUUUCAUGUGCUAGACUAUUAUAUUGCAUAGUAUGUCCUUGUAACUAACCAAUAUCACAGCUUUUGAAGAUUAAAAAUCACAAUAUUAUAUUAAUAUUUCAUAUUUGCCAUGGAAGUUAGAUAUAGAUAUGUUUUCAAUGCCUGAUGAUGUAUAAGAAAAAAAUGGGAAAAAAAAGAGAUUAGAAGUGUCAAAAUUAGUUGAGAUUUCUUCUAAGACCUAGUCUUUAGUUUAUAAUUGAGGGCAGUCUUGAAGUCCAGUGUAAAUUUUAUUAAGACUACCAUUUGGACGAUGCUCAAACCCUGCUUUUUGUGACAGUGAUGUUCCCAAGAAAAAGUUGACUUACAUGAUAUCUAAGGUGUCCUCCUUCUCUAACAUUUAGAAUCAAGCAUCUGGUGACAGUAUUGCACAAAUUAAAAUUUAUGUAGAUGCCGAAACAAAGACCAAUUUUGCCUCAUGUAAAAGCAUAGUGAGCAAAAAGCAUGGCAGUCCUUCUAUCUUUAUGUGCUCAGACUUUUUAAAUUAAAAUUUUCUGCCUUUAUUAGUCAGUUGAUACUGUCAUAAGUUGAUAAUAUCUUAAAAUUUCAAAAGUAUAUGUAAAUUUUAAGUUUUAUUUCUUCCUCCAAGGGUCCUUAGGGACUCACCAUUCAGAUAUCAGAUCCUAUGUUAGCUUAUAUCUUUAUUUUCUUCCCAACAGAUAAUGAAAAGUACUCUAGUGCCUUACAAAAUGUUCUUAUAUAGAACAUUCUAUGCAUACAGUAUCAUUGUACAAACUCAUACCUCAGCUGACUUAACCAAAAUUAUCUUAGUCUCCAUUCCUUCCACACUGGGAGAGUGUCCAAAAUAACUAUUUCCUAAUCCACAUAUCUCCCUUCAAGAGGGAAAAGUUGGCUUGAGGGGUGACCACUAUCUUGAAAAGUCUAUUUUUCUCACAAAUUAGUAAAAGUUAGUUGGAUUCCCUAGCUUCUAGCAAACUUGGGCCAAAGGAAAGCCACUAAGACUACCCAAGUCAUCUACCCACGACAGAGUAGACACAAGUCUAUGAUAAGAUAAAUAGAAUGCACAUGGCACACCUAUGGAAAUGACUUCCAUCAUUGGAGUAAAAUGGGUCAAAGUUCGAGUUAAGGUGGAUGGUGAGGGGUCAUGGUUGUGUUCACAAAGGCUUUCUACUAUUUUAUAGGUCCUUUGUUGUUAAGCCUUUAAGAAAGUUCCAAGUUGUGAAAAGAAUACUUUGAUCCUACAUUUUAUUCCAAAUUUGGAUGACAUGAGUUUUAGGGUAGAAUUCUGUUCCGUUUAGAUUUAAUCUUUGAAAAGGCAAAUUCCUCAUUUACUUGGAUUACAGUUCUCUGUCAUCUUUAAGAGGGGAAGCUGCAAGCUGACUAGCAUGUUCUGUGAAUCUGCCAUUGUUAAACAUGUUCUUAACACUUGACAUUUUUCACUGAUAAUUGAUUGCUGCAAUAAAAUAUAUUGUGAAAAUGCAUCCACAAUAAAUGGAAUUCUUCCAAA